GAUGAACGCUGGCGGCGUGCCUAAUACAUGCAAGUCGAGCGAACGGACGAGAAGCUUGCUUCUCUGAUGCUAGCGGCGGACGGGUGAGUAACACGUGGAUAACCUACCUAUAAGACUGGGAUAACUUCGGGAAACCGGAGCUAAUACCGGAUAAUAUUUUGAACCGCAUGGUUCAAAAGUGAAAGACGGUCUUGCUGUCACUUAUAGAUGGAUCCGCGCUGCAUUAGCUAGUUGGUAAGGUAACGGCUUACCAAGGCAACGAUGCAUAGCCGACCUGAGAGGGUGAUCGGCCACACUGGAACUGAGACACGGUCCAGACUCCUACGGGAGGCAGCAGUAGGGAAUCUUCCGCAAUGGGCGAAAGCCUGACGGAGCAACGCCGCGUGAGUGAUGAAGGUCUUCGGAUCGUAAAACUCUGUUAUUAGGGAAGAACAUAUGUGUAAGUAACUGUGCACAUCUUGACGGUACCUAAUCAGAAAGCCACGGCUAACUACGUG
rnacentral:rRNA from 1 species